UUCUUCCUACGGGGCGCAGCAGUGGGGGAUAUUGCACAAUGGGGGAAACCCUGAUGCAGCGACGCCGCGUGAGUGAAGAAGUAUUUCGGUAUGUAAAGCUCUAUCGGCAGGGAAGAAGAAAAUGACAGUACCUGACUAAGAAGCCCCGGCUAACUACGUGCCAGCAGCCGCGGUAAUACGUAGGGGGCAAGCGUUAUCCGGAUUUACUGGGUGUAAAGGGAGCGUAGGCGGCCAUGCAAGUCAGAAGUGAAAAUCCGGGGCUCAACCCUGGGAGGGCUUUUGAAACUGUGCGGCUAGA
rnacentral:rRNA from 1 species